rnacentral:rRNA from 1 species
GGACGAACGCUGGCGGCGUGCCUAACACAUGCAAGUGGAGCGACGAACCAGGCUUCGGCCUGGGGCAGAGCCGCGAACGGGUGAGUAACACGUGGGUAACCUGCCCUGAUGAUUGGGACAACCCGAGGAAACUCGGGCUAAUACCAAAUGUGCCCUCCGACCAUAAGGUCGCUGGGGAAAGGAAGCUUCGGCCUCCGCAUCGGGAUGGGGCCCCGCGGCCCAUUAGCUUGUUGGUGAGGUAAGGCUCACCAAGGCAACGAUGGGUAGCUGGUCUGAGAGGACGAUCAGCCACACUGGGACUGAGACACGGCCCAGACUCCUACGGGAGGCAGCAGUGGGGAAUCUUGCGCAAUGCGCGAAAGCGUGACGCAGCAACG